CACGUAGUUAGCCGGGGCUUCUUAGUCAGGUACCGUCAUUUUCUUUCCUGCUGAUAGAGCUUUACAUACCGAAAAUACUUCUUCACUCACGCGGCGUCGCUGCAUCAGGGUUUCCCCCAUUGUGCAAUAUUCCCCACUGCUGCCUCCCGUAGGAGUUUGGGCCGUGUCUCAGUCCCAAUGUGGCCGUUCACCCUCUCAGGCCGGCUACUGAUCGUCGCCUUGGGUGGGCCUCUACCCCGCCAACAAGCUAAUCAGACGCGGGUCCAUCGUAUACCACCGGAGUUUUUCACACCGGACCAUGCGAUCCUGUGCGCUUAUGCGUUUAGCACCUAUUUCUAAGUGUUACUCCCCUGUAUACGGCAGGUUACCCACGCGUUACUCACCCGUCCGCCACUAACAGAUAAAUCACUAGGUUUCAUUACCUGUCCGUUCGACUUCGC
rnacentral:rRNA from 1 species